UACGUAGGCAGCGAGCGUUGUUCGGAGUUACUGGGCGUAAAGAGUAUGUAGGCGGUUGCGCAAGUUCGGUGUGAAAUCUCCCGGCUUAACUGGGAGGGUGCGCCGAAGACUGCGUGGCUAGAGUGCGGGAGAGGAGAGCGGAAUUCCUGGUGUAGCGGUGAAAUGCGUAGAUAUCAGGAGGAACACCGGUGGUGUAGACGGCUCUCUGGACCGCAACUGACGCUGAGAUACGAAAGCGUGGGGAGCAAACAGGAUUAGAUACCCUGGUAGUCCACGCCCUAAACGAUGCGGACUUGGUGUGGGCAGUUCAGUCUGUCCGUGCCGGAGCUAACGCGUUAAGUCCGCCGCCUGGGGAGUACGGUCGCAAGGCUGAA
rnacentral:rRNA from 1 species